rnacentral:rRNA from 2 species
CACCGCGGUUAUACGAGAGGCCCGAGUUGACGGUCACCGGCGUAAAGAGUGGUUACGGAACUUUUAAACUAAAGCCGAACACCCUCUAGGCUGUCAUACGCACCUGAGGGCACGAAGCCCCCUCACGAAAGUGGCUUUACACCCCCCCCCCGAACCCACGACAGCUAUGGCA